GGAAGUAAAAGUCGUAACAAGGUUUCCGUAGGUGAACCUGCGGAAGGUCAUUACCGAGUGCGGGAACCCAGUCGGGUCCCAAUCUCCCACCCGUGUCUACCACACCUAGUGUUGCUUUGGCGGGCCCACUCCUCCGGUGUUCCGCCGGGGGGGUCGUCCCGGGGCGCGGUGUGCCCCCGGGGCCCGUGCCCGCCAGAGGCACUCACUGUGAACGCUUUUGUGAAUGCGAGGAUUGUCUGAGUGACGAAAUGCAAUCGUUCAAAACUUUCAACAAUGGAUCUCUUGGUUCCGGCAUCGAUGAAGAACGCAGCGAAAUGCGAUAAGUAAUGUGAAUUGCAGAAUUCCGUGAAUCAUCGAAUCUUUGAACGCACAUUGCGCCCUCUGGUAUUCCGGGGGGCAUGCCUGUCCGAGCGUCAUUGCGAACCCUCAAGCACGGCUUGUGUGUUGGGCCGCCGUCCCCUCGUUUGGAGGGGACGGGCCUGAAAGGCAGCGGCGGCGUCGCGUCCGGUCCUCGAGCGUAUGGGGCUCUGUCACGCGCUCAAGGAGGGGUCCGGCCGGGGCCAUAGCCUCUGAAGGUCAAUUCUUCCAAGGUGACCUCGGAUCAGGUAGGAGUACCCGCUGAACUUAAGCAUAUCAAUAAGCGGAGGA
rnacentral:rRNA from 1 species